UACAGAGGUCUCAAGCGUUGUUCGGAUUCAUUGGGUGUAAAGGGUGCGUAGGUGGCGCGGUAAGUCGGGUGUGAAAUUUCGGAGCUUAACUCCGAAACUGCAUUCGAUACUGCCGUGCUUGAGGACUGGAGAGGAGACUGGAAUUUACGGUGUAGCAGUGAAAUGCGUAGAGAUCGUAAGGAAGACCAGUGGCGAAGGCGGGUCUCUGGACAGUUCCUGACACUGAGGCACGAAGGCCAGGGGAGCAAACGGG
rnacentral:rRNA from 1 species